UCAUGGCUCAGAUUGAACGCUGGCGGCAGGCCUAACACAUGCAAGUCGAGCGGAUGAAGGGAGCUUGCUCCUGGAUUCAGCGGCGGACGGGUGAGUAAUGCCUAGGAAUCUGCCUGGUAGUGGGGGAUAACGUCCGGAAACGGGCGCUAAUACCGCAUACGUCCUGAGGGAGAAAGUGGGGGAUCUUCGGACCUCACGCUAUCAGAUGAGCCUAGGUCGGAUUAGCUAGUUGGUGGGGUAAAGGCCUACCAAGGCGACGAUCCGUAACUGGUCUGAGAGGAUGAUCAGUCACACUGGAACUGAGACACGGUCCAGACUCCUACGGGAGGCAGCAGUGGGGAAUAUUGGACAAUGGGCGAAAGCCUGAUCCAGCCAUGCCGCGUGUGUGAAGAAGGUCUUCGGAUUGUAAAGCACUUUAAGUUGGGAGGAAGGGCAGUAAGUUAAUACCUUGCUGUUUUGACGUUACCAACAGAAUAAGCACCGGCUAACUUCGUGCCAGCAGCCGCGGUAAUACGAAGGGUGCAAGCGUUAAUCGGAAUUACUGGGCGUAAAGCGCGCGUAGGUGGUUCAGCAAGUUGGAUGUGAAAUCCCCGGGCUCAACCUGGGAACUGCAUCCAAAACUACUGAGCUAGAGUACGGUAGAGGGUGGUGGAAUUUCCUGUGUAGCGGUGAAAUGCGUAGAUAUAGGAAGGAACACCAGUGGCGAAGGCGACCACCUGGACUGAUACUGACACUGAGGUGCGAAAGCGUGGGGAGCAAACAGGAUUAGAUACCCUGGUAGUCCACGCCGUAAACGAUGUCGACUAGCCGUUGGGAUCCUUGAGAUCUUAGUGGCGCAGCUAACGCGAUAAKUCGACCCCCCU
rnacentral:rRNA from 1 species